GGUGGCUCUGUGGUAGAGUGCUUGCCUUGCAUGCAUGAAGCCCUGGGUUCAAUUCCUCAGCACCA
rnacentral:tRNA from 1 species